rnacentral:tRNA from 1 species
CAGAUUGAUGGCCUAAUGGUUCAGGGCGAUCACUUUGGAGUGAUAGUCGAAAGUUCAAGUCUUUCCAGUCUGA